rnacentral:lncRNA from 1 species
GGAGGUGAGAGGCGAGUGGCCGGGAACGUGGCACGGCCACGGGCAGCGGCACAAGUGCCCCCCGGCUGUGCUCACCUGAGGCGGCUUCGGGGGUCCCGGGGAUCCCGUGGGGACCCUGCAGGGACAAGAGGGUCUGGGGGCAACAGCAGAGCCGUGUCCCCUGGGCAGGUGACACACUGAACCAGCAGCACCAGCUCUUUGAGGAGUACCAGGGCCCCUGUCGCCAGGCACUUGGCCGUGACCAGCCCUGGGCCAUAGGGACACUGCUCAGCUACCUCAACAUCUACAAGGAGCCCAUGUCCACCCCCAAGAACACAAAGAGCUGUGUGCUGGUGACCAUGGGGCUGAUGGGUGCAGUGAUCUGGCAUCACUCUGGCAUCGAUCCAGCAUCGAUUCAGCGUUGAUCCAGCAUUGAUUCAGCAUAUAUCCAGCAUCACAGAAUCACAGAAUGAUUUAGGUUGGAAAAGACCUCCAAGACCAUCGAGUCCACCCUGUGCCCGAUCCCCAUCUUGUCACCCAGACUGCAGCACUGAGUGCCACAUCCAGUCAUUUCUUGAACACCUCCAGGGAUGGGGACUCCACCACCUCCCUAGACAGCCCCUUCCAAUGUCUGACCACCCUUUCCAUGAAUAAAUUCUUCCUGAU